CGGGCACCUCCGCGGGGGGCAGCAGAGAGCGCCCGGCCCGGGCGGGGUGCGGGCGCUGGGGGUUUUCAAGCGCCUCUUCCCGGGAGGCCACAGUCUCUGAGCUUCUAUCUCCAUCUCAUGUUCCCGAUGCUCCUUGCCGGGUACCCACCUCCAAAAGCUGCCAGGAAAGAAGAGAAUGGAAGAUGAAUGGAGCAAGGAAAAAAUACCAACAUCAUCAUCAUCAUCAUAGCUGCCAUCAUUCACUGAGUGCCUCGUCUGCACCCAGCAAAGUGUGUGCAUUAUCCUAUUUAAGAUAUUGGUGAUGGUGUCUGCCCACUGCCUCAGGAGUCCUGUCUGAGUUCUGUGCAGAUGAGCCUCUGAUCCAGAAGUGAUGGAGCCACUUCCACUGGGUAAGGUUCUGAGAGACCAGAGGGCAGAGAAGCUGGUUUGAGGUCCAGACAACGAGGGACAACACUAACAACAAUAAUGGUAAUAGCCACCACUUUCAAUAUACAUACUUGCACCAAGCAUUAGCAGACUUAUAAACAAUAACAACAACCAGUUCAGUUCGGUUCAGUUGCUCAGUCGUGUCUGACC
rnacentral:lncRNA from 1 species